rnacentral:rRNA from 1 species
GAUGAACGCUGGCGGCGUGCUUAACACAUGCAAGUCGAACGACGACGCCCUGCUUGCUUGGUGUUUUAGUGGCGAACGGGUGGGUAACUCGUGAGUAACCUGCCCUCUACUCUAGGAUAAGCCCUGGAAACUGGGACUAAUACUUGAUAGGAACGUCUACCUCAUGGUGGGUGUUGGACAGCAUUUCGGUAAUGGAUGGACUCGCGGCCUAUCAGCUUGUUGGUGGGGUACUGGCUCACCAACGCGACGACCGGUAGCCGGCCUGAGAGGGUGACCGGCCACAAGAGGACUGAGACACGGCGCAGACGCCUACGGUAGGCAGCAGUGGGAAAUAUUACACAAUGAGCGAGAGCCUGAUGAGGCGACGCCGCGUGAGUGAUGACGGCCUUUGGGUUGUAAACAUCUUUCAGUAGAGAAGAAGCGAAAGUGACGGUACCUGCAGAAGAAGCACCGGCUAACUACGUG